GGAGGAAAGCAGGGGAUCGCAAGACCUUGCGCUUUUGGAGCGGCCGAUGUCUGAUUAGCUAGUUGGUGGGGUAAAUGCUUACCAAGGCGACGAUCAGUAGUUGGUCUGAGAGGACGACCAGCCACACUGGGACUGAGACACGGCCCAGACUCCUACGGGAGGCAGCAGUGGGGAAUUUUGGACAAUGGGCGCAAGCCUGAUCCAGCAAUGCCGUGUGAGUGAAGAAGGCCUUCGGGUUGUAAAGCUCUUUCAGUCGAGAAGAAAAGGUUGUGACUAAUACUCACAAUCCAUGACGGUAUCGACAGAAGAAGCACCGGCUAACUACGUGCCAGCAGCCGCGGUAAUACGUAGGGUGCGAGCGUUAAUCGGAAUUACUGGGCGUAAAGGGUGCGCAGGCGGUUCUGUAAGUCAGAUGUGAAAUCCCCGGGCUUAACCUGGGAAUUGCGUUUGAAACUACAAGGCUAGA
rnacentral:rRNA from 1 species